rnacentral:lncRNA from 1 species
UUAAAGGGGGGGUUGAUUGCAUCAUGUGUCAUCUUCAGUUUCCCUCUGAGUGGUCCUGCUUCACACCAUCAGUUCAGCGUUGAGGAGAAUGAGACUUCGUAUUCUGGCAAGAUCCACCACCACCACCGCCGCCACACACACAGCCAGGACACGCUUUGCCACACACACACCAAGAACAGUGAGUACUUUCAGUCUGAAGAAGUGCUGUCCAGACAAUGUCUGUCCUCAAAUCUGUGAUGAGUCUAGUAGGUACACUGAUGCUCUUUUCAUCAGCACGCUGUGUUUUGUUUAAGGGGUCGACUCAUCCAAAUCCCAAACCAUACUUUGUUACUUAAAGGAGAACUUCUAAUUCGGGUCUAUCUUAAAACAACAGUCAGAUUGAUUUAAGUGUUUUGUUUCAGAAAUUCUGUCUUUGUUACUAAUAGGUCAUAUACAUACUAACAUGAACACUGUUUAUACGUAUAAUAAUAGGCAGAUUUCUGUUAAACUAUUUGUGCUAUAACACUGUUAUUGCUGAAAUACCACUGGGAUUCUGUGGGAACAGAUGUUUGUGUGAUUUGGGUGAAUUGCCCAUUCUGUCACAGUCUCUUGUCCGAUUAUAUCUGUCUCUUUCUGUAGUGCAUUUUCUCAUUACCGUUUGUGUGUACUAGAACGUCGAGCUCCUCCCUGCCCGGCAGAUGAGUUGGACAUUUCUCAGUGUCUGCUCAAAGCUCUGGAGUCAGACAGCGAUUCUCCUCCUUGGCCCUCGCUGCAUGUCAACAUGGACAACAAGGGAGAGGAGAAGCAACUGUCUGAAAAGUCUCUGCACCCUCCUGCCUCUCCAGCAAUGCUCCCUGACCACCUCAAGUGUAACAUCCUCAAGGCCCAGAUGGAGGCAGCGUUCAGGAAGGAAGCUCCACCAACGCCUCGAGGGAAGAGCUCGAGUGAGACCCUCACUGAAAGGUAUCAGAGCUCGUCCCAAGACUCUGCUGCAUCCAGCCUGACUGCAGACAAAACUCCCCAUUGGCAAGACCGCAACCCCACGCCAGAGAGGCUGCAGCCCAAGGCCAACACAAGCAGCAACCGCAGAAAACGACUGGUCAGACAGUUCAGCUUUAACCAUGAGGAUGAGGACAAUCUCCCAGAAGCUCUUGCAGCCAUCUCCUCCCAGAGUAUGGCAAAGUCUGGCUCCAGCAGCUCAUUGGACAAACAGAUACAGCCGUCUAUAUACCCACAGUGGAGAGGAAAUGAGGGUGGACAGAGAGAAGAUACUAAGAGCCCUCCUGAUGACAGAGCUCUGAGACCUUGACCUUUGACGCCUGUGACAUCGCCGCCAGACAAAACAAAACCGGUGUAAACUGGAAGCAUGAAAUCAAGUUUUAAUGUCACUGGCUGCAGUCAAAAUGUGUACAUUUGCAUAAUACAUUCAGCAGUUAUAGAUACACAUUUGCAUAAAGGCAAUUGUUAUAUUUGCUUAAUUGUUAUUUUAGAAGAAUGGUUCUUUAUAUUUAUCAAACUGUAUAAACUUUAAGUGAGAGAGAAUGAAAUGGACUCAUUCACACACAGAACAGACAAGCUACAGUGUGACCGAUGCUGCCUGCAUGAUAAAUAUGUUACAAGAUUAACUGUUUAUCUGAUUUUAUUUGGGGGGUUAUGUUUAGAUUUUAUGUGAUUUCGUCAUCACUGUGUCCAUGUUGAUGCCUAAACUGUGUUUCAGACAGCGACUGUUGAAGCGUCAUGCUCUUCACAAUAAGCACCACUGAACCAAAAGUCACUUGAACUUCAAAUGAUUUGUUGAAAAUGUAAAAAUACAGUUUUGAGUAAUAUACCGAUACUGUAACAGAACAGGAGUUGUAAACGCUUACUUCUUUAUUGUAUUCAUUCUAAAGUCAGAUAUACGUUUUGACAUGUCAAAACGACAGAGGGUGCAGCAGGUGUAGAGACUGGACUGUGAGUUUGUGCAGCUGCAGGCUCAGUGUGUCCACUAGAAGGAGACAUAUCUGCAUUUACUGCUCAUGUAGCAGCUGAACACACUGAUCCUGUGUUACAAGUUGUCACGAGAAACAGAUCAUGAAUCACUUCUAUUUUUUCUAUUUCAUUACAGGUCAAAUGCAAACCUCAUCUCACAGGUUCUUCUUCUUGGGAAUUAGGCAUCAGUAAGCAUAACCCUGCUGUCCGACAACUCUUUUAAGUCCUUUCCUUUAUUUUUUCCACAACAACAUUUGAGGCAGCAUAUGAUCUGCUGUUCCACUGUAUGUGUUGAGUUGUUCGUGCCCUCAGUUGGAUCUUAAUAAAAGCGACAUCAUCAGUUUGACAACUCUG